rnacentral:misc_RNA from 1 species
AAAAAAAAAAAAAAAAUUGGAAAUUCUUUGGAAACAUUCAAGGAACUUUGAUGGUUGAUUUACAAAUAAAAAAUUUUAUGAUGGCCUUUAAUUAUAAUUUUAAAAAGUUAAAUGCUUAAAGACAAAUAAAAACAAAGAAAAAAAAUGGAUUUAAAAAAAAAGCUUCAUUCUUUGUUAGAAUUUAAUGAUGGAUUACUGAAAUUAAUGUUUGUGGGGUAACUAACUUUGAAGUAAUAAUAUCAUUAUAAAUUUAGUAAACAUAUUUCAUAGAAUCUUCUCUAGUGUUCCAUAUCCUUAGCAUUUUGUGUCCUACUUUUUAGAAUAUGCUGUAUCCCUGUGUCCUAUCUCAUGUCCCAUUUUGGUUCCGUCUACCUAGGCACAUGCACUCACACACAAAAAGAGGUGUUAUUGCCAUCUCAUUGUUUGGAAGUAAAUAUCUGAUAUUUGCCUAUGGCUAUUUUGCUGCUCAUGAAGAAUUUAUGCCUAGGUGAAUUGUGAAGAGCUCUUUAAUUCAUGACCAACUUUAUCAUUCUCCGCUAAUUUCUUGAUGAAACCUAGUUUGGGACCAGCCCAUUUUGGAUUAAAUUGUAUUGUUUUUCGCAUGCUUUAGGCUUUGAAUUCAUGUCAGUGAUUAAGCUUCAAUAUGUUCUUUCAUUAUCUAACUUUGAUUUUGUUAAUUGUUCAAUAUUUAAAUUCUGUUUAGUCUGCCACAUUGGAUAUCUUUGCAUUAGUGAUUGGAUUGAUAAAAGUCUGGCAACAAAUACUAGAUCAUGACAAUAAAUGGAACCAUAAAAUUGAAACAAAUCGUAGUGAACUAUCUAAUUCAAGCCCUAAGUUGAGAGACUAAUGUUGCAAUAAUCUUGCUCAUUUUCUGUUGCCAGGCUCAGUUGACGUCCGAAAAAAUUUUAUCAGACUAGCAGCACUCAUCAUUGAGCUUACUUGACUUACAUUUUUAUGAUAAUUAUACAUAAGGAUGCAUUCAAUGUCAAAAAUGGCCUAAGGCUUAAAAAUCUUUCUUACGCAUGCACGCCGCACCAAAAAAUUAUGUUUGAAAGCAUAAUUUCUAUUAUUUAAGAAUUACAACCAAAUGUCUCGCACCAUUUUCCCCCUAAAAUUAAGGCUACAAAAUUAAAUUAAUAGCAGAAGCUUUUGUUGAAAACAUUCACAAAUACUCAUAUGAAUAUUGAUGUAAAUACAUUUACAUUGUCAUAGUGAUAAAUUUGAAAUGAAAUAGUGAAAUACUAUCAUAUUGAUUUGUACCAUGCCAAUUAAGAAGGGGAAUAGGUGCAGCAAUGACAUUCAUAUAGUUGGUUCAAAUAAAUGCAUGGAAAUCAUUUCUGUUCAGAAUUUUGAGUUAAUUUCUUAAAUGUGUUAUUCAUGUGGUUUUAUUAAUAUAUAUGG